rnacentral:sRNA from 2 species
AUCCCCCUCCACCUAUCCUCCUUUCAACACAACUAUUCCGUUUUUCUAAUGUGUCUUUAUGACGUUGUAGAAAUCCUACGUUUCAACUCCGUUCCUAGCAUAUUUUUCCUCCUGUUCGUUUGCUCCUUGACGAGCUUUCCACCAGUCCCACAAUUUUUGCAGUCACACAUCCAAAUGACCGCAUUCCCAACUUCAUGAGUUUCCCUUCCCCCGCUCAAUCUUUGAUUGCUUCUGGCACCGACAAGCCAUCAGCUUCCAGGACGGCGAGAUCCCACCAGUCUGUCUGGGGUACAAGUGCGUCCCAAUCUAACGUCCGCCGUGGCCUGACGCCGCUAUCCACCAAUAUAUCCAAUUCAAACUCCAGUGUAUCACCUCCCCGGCGUCCUGCCCAGCCUCAUAGUCCAGCUCCUAGCGUUUCUGCGACAUCUCCCCUUACCUCCAGCUUUUCCGCAGUCCUGACAUCCUCUAAUCGCAUUCCCACCAACCGCCACAACUCUUCUCCGGCGCCUUCUCACGCCUCCUUCACUUCACACCAACAAGCUGGCUCACACCAACAGCAGCAACAGCAACAAAGCCAGCCAAUUUCAUCCCCCAAAAUC